GACGAACGCUGGCGGCAUGCCUAAUACAUGCAAGUAGAACGCACAGUUUAUACCGUAGCUUGCUACACCAUAGACUGUGAGUUGCGAACGGGUGAGUAACGCGUAGGUAACCUGCCUGGUAGCGGGGGAUAACUAUUGGAAACGAUAGCUAAUACCGCAUAAUAUUGAUUAUUGCAUGAUAAUUAAUUGAAAGGUGCAAUUGCACCACUACCAGAUGGACCUGCGUUGUAUUAGCUAGUAGGUGAGGUAACGGCUCACCUAGGCGACGAUACAUAGCCGACCUGAGAGGGUGAUCGGCCACACUGGGACUGAGACACGGCCCAGACUCCUACGGGAGGCAGCAGUAGGGAAUCUUCGGCAAUGGACGAAAGUCUGACCGAGCAACGCCGCGUGAGUGAAGAAGGUUGUCGGAUCGUAAAGCUCUGUUGUAAGAGAAGAACGGGUGUGAGAGUGGAAAGUUCACACUGUGACGGUAUCUGACCAGAAAGGGACGGCUAACUACGUG
rnacentral:rRNA from 1 species